GGCCGAGCUACGGAAUCAUGGAUGCGGUUAGAGGCAUGGCAGCUCGCGGUGGGUCUGUAUUCUUCGUGGACUAUGGUGAGGAAUGCUGUGAACAGAAGUCAUUGGCGGGAAGAUUUACUCGCGUGUCCGAAUAGCGUUUCACUGGGCGCCGUGUUCGUUGGUGAUUAUAUUAUGAAGUAGACGAAAACAGUUACAAUUUCGCAGCUCGUACGACGGUACGAUGAUCCUGUGACAAUUUAAACGAGUCUCGCGUCCUGAUCGAUACGAUAUCCGCGAAAGAAGAUGGUGUUCGCGUCCGUUGGUAUUGCGCGUAUUUGAACGAAUGUGCGACUCGAGGGUAAACAGAUCGCAGUCCUUCCGAUAAUCAUGGAGAUUCAAGCGAGAACCAGAGGGAAACGAAAAGCCGUUGAUCUGGAGGAGUAUUACAUAGAGAAUUCAAAGGAGAAGGAGAAUGCCUCGCAAGACGUAAGUGCGUAAAGCAGGUAAAAUAAAGAAGGUCCUGCUGAGGAACUUCAUGUGUCACGAUGCCCUGGAAGUUGUGCUGAAUCCGAAUGUAAAUUUCAUCGUUGGCCGUAAUGGAAGUGGUAAAAGUGCAAUAUUGACAGCGUUAACCGUCGGUCUUGGCGCCAGGGCGAAUGUUACUAGUCGUGGAGCAUCUGUGAAAGGUUUCAUAAAGAAGGGGAAAAAUAACGCGACAAUCGAAGUAACCUUAUUUAAUCAAGGACCAUUGGCGUAUAAACCAAACGUUUAUGGCGAUUCGAUAGUGAUUAUUCGUACUAUUGGAAAUACAUCGUCGUAUAAAAUAAAGAAUUGGAAAGGAGAAGUGGUCUCGACAAAACGAAACGAGCUUGACAGUAUACUACACGCCAUGAACAUUCAAAUUGACAAUCCCAUUUCCAUUCUGAAUCAGGACAUAUCCAGGACAUUCUUAGUGUCCUCUAAACCGGAAGAAAAAUAUGAAUUAUUUAUGAAAGCCACCCUUUUAGAUGUAAUAGGCAAUAACUAUAAAGAAGCCGAUCUAACGUGUCAAGAGGAAUAUAAAAAGUUAGAGAAGUACAACGAAAUUUUGUCAGAGGCCAGAAAAGAAGUUGAGGUAUUGAAAAUGAAGAUAAAAAGAGCCGAAGAAAUCGAUGAAUUACGCGAAGAAGUGACCAGUCUUGAAAAGGAAUUGGUUUGGGCAGUUGCUAUAGCGGAAGAAGCUAAAUUGCACAAAGUCGAGGGGACUUUAAAAAAGUGUGAAGAUACUCAUAAAGAACUGAUGGAAAUGGAAACGCAUGCGGAUUUAAGAGACGAAGAGAUACAAACGAUGAUCCGGAAAUUAGAACAAGAAAUCAAAGAUAUAGAACAAGAGGUUAGUAAUAAUUCAGAAGAAUAUAAUAAAGUCAAGCAAGAUUGCAUUACCAGGAAAGAGGAGUAUUCUAAUGAAGCGCGAAAGUGGCGUUCUUCCCGGAGUAAGAUUAAAAGAUUGGAGGAUGACAUUAAUAUGAUCAAAAAAGAGAUCCACCGACUAGAAAGCGGCGACAAUGCAGAACAAACUGAAAGGAACGAAACGAAACAGCAGUUAGCAGAUCUGGAGCAAAAGCUGGAUGAAAUCGAAGCCUUGUUACGAACUAAACAAACGCAUCAGUCGCACUUGGAAACCGACAAGAUGCGUCUGCUAAAAGAAAUUCACACCUCGAAAAUAGAAAUAGCAAGCUGCGAAAAUCGUAUACAAAAAAUCAGGCGCGAGAUAAGCGUCAGGAAACAGCACGCCGAUAACGCUCUGACUCUGUUCGGAUCGAACAUCCCACGCCUUUUGAGAAGGAUCGAGGAAGAGUAUAGUAAUGGCCAAUUCAAGGAAAAGCCACGUGGUCCACUAGGGGCGUACAUAAAACUGAAGGAUUCAGCUUGGGCACCAGCGAUUGAAAACUGUUUAGGAGCCGGCACGUUCAGCACAUUCUGCGUAGACAACAACAGCGACGCCAAAGUAUUGAACACGAUCAUGAAGGAGAUUUAUUUAAAUGAAAGGACUCCACAGAUAAUAUGCAGCAAAUUCUUUUACAAAGUUCACGACGUCCGUACGCAUUGCACUCGUUCACCGAAUUACUCGAAUCUGUUGGACGCAAUGGAGAUCUCGGAUCCCAUUGUUGCGAACUGCCUGAUCGACUCGCGCGAGGUCGAAUGCAUUCUAUUAAUCCCGACUGGCAAGGAGGCAGCCGACAUAAUGUCCGACGCUUCGAAGGUCCCGCAGAAUUGUAAAAGGGCGAUCACUCAGAAAGGAGAUAUAUUUUACCCGGACCCGCAAUACAGAAGCUACAGCGGGCCGCGUGAUUUGAAAGCUAGAUUUCUUCAAGUCUCCGUUUCGGACACGAUCAACGUACUGGAGGAAGAACUUCGCACUAUAGACAGCGAGAAGAAUGCAACGAUUCAGUUGUACACCACAGCUCGCGAGAAGGAGAAACGAACGAGCUCCGAGCUUGCAACUGUGAACGCGUUGAUAGAGAAGCUCAACGUCACUCAGAAUCAACAUAAAGCGCACAUCAACGAGUUGAAGGAUAAGAUCGAAGCCAACGAGGCGAUAUCCGUUACGAUAUUCAAAAAUGAAUUGAACGAGCUGGAAAAGAGAUUGCUCCAGGAGAAAUCCGAGGAGUCCAGUUUGAGUGAAAACGUUUUGGAGCUUCAGAGGAGGCUGGAGGACACAGAGGCAACGGUUAAACGACACAGAGAAUUAAGGCAGAAUAUGGAUUUAAAAAUCAAUCCGUUGAAGGCGAAUAUAAAGCAACUGCAAGUCGAAAGGGAAACGAUGCGAGCGAAAGGUCAGCACGCCGCGAGGAAGGUGGAAGGAGCUCGUCGAGACUUGCAGACCGCAACAGCGGAAUUCGAGGCGCAGUCUAGGUCCAGUAAAAAGGCGGUGUCCGAUGCUAUGAAACAAUGCGACAGGAUAGAAACAGAGAGAUCACCCAAAGAGCUUGAAAGGUUAUCCAGAGAUUUGAAAGGGAAGAUCAGCGAGAUAGAGCGACAACUGGGCACUAUAGACCAGCUGCGGAAACAGCUGAGAGUACAAGAAGCAAAGUGUGGGAAAAAUUUGCAGUUGGCUACUAAAAUCGAGAAAAGUUAUCAAGUUCACCUACAGCGUUUACAAGCCAGGAAACAAUUAUUUUCUCAAAUGAAGGAGUCGUACGGUGUACAAAUAAGGAAUUCGUUCUCGAACGUACUCGCGUUACGGAACAAGAAGGGUAUCAUAAAUAUCGACCACGCGAGGAAACGGCUUGAACUUGAAGUGCAACCGUUGAACGUGAACGAGAAGUCGAUCAACGACACGAGAUCGUUGUCAGGCGGCGAAAGGUCUUAUUCGACCGUUGCUUUUAUUUUAGCACUCUGGGACUCCACCGGUUUGCCAUUUUAUUUCCUCGAUGAAUUUGACGUGUUUAUGGAUAAGGUGAACCGGCGGGUCGUAAUGGACAUUCUUCUGGAUCACGCGAAAACACAUCCGCAAAGCCAAUUCGCGUUUCUGACCCCGUUGGACACGUCCAACGUCCUCGCGGAGGAUUACGUAACGAUACAUCGGUUGGCAACGCCGGAAAGAAGAAAUCAGGACUAGGUCACGACUCGAACGAACUUUUCAAUUUUUUUCUCAGGACUUAACAGCACCGUUCAAUGAACAUAGUGUAUUUACGAUGUUGGUAGUAUUACUUAUUCACACUGGAAAGUUUUAUCCGCGUUUGACUUGUCGCUGAACGUACCGCAACGAGACCAGUCUUCGGCUUUGUCAUCGUUUCAUUCAUGUCCACUGUACACAAACUCACAUCGUCGGGUCGAUCGAUUUUUCAACGUUCGUCUUUCCUCUUUUCUCUCUCUACUUUCCCUGUGAAAAAUCGAUCGACUGUAUACCCAAAGCAUCUCUAAGUACAUUCAGUGUCAAGUGUCAUCACCCGUCACUGAGAUGCGAACGAUGAGUUUCAGUGUAUCCGUAGUCGAUAAGCGUUUAGGAUACUUUUUUCUACCUAGUUGAAAAGUAUUAGUGUCUCCGAAAGAGCGGUCUGAAUAGGUGUACACACGAGGCGUGCAAAAAGGCAUAUUUUCUUCUAGCGUUACGUCGAGCGCAAGUUUUGCCGAGGGAAUAUGGAAAACGAAGAUGAUGGAGUAUCGAGUUGUGCAAUCGAAUCGAAGCUAGGAGGGUGGCGAAAGCGACAAGCUGCGAACAGAGAAACGUUUGCUGUUAGAUAAUCGCGCUAUUGCCAAUGCGCGUCGGUGCUGAUGAGACUCGAAUGCUGAUUUCUUUUGCAGUUCGGAACCAGUGGGUUCGGAUCGGUAGAAGCGGAAGGUUACAGGGACUGAUAAGGUACAGAGAACAGUCGUCAGCGAGUUGGUUAAAUGGCAACUUCAACGAAGGGGAAACAAACGGAGGCAAGAGUUCUAUGGAAAUUCUACGAAAAUUCCAGCACGAUGAAAGUAGCAUUUCGUCGGCGAACCCGUACGUGUGAGAUUAUCGAAACAGGCACGCGGACGUGUGUUCUACUUUCGAGUGGAUGGGCUGAGAAAAAGAGUGAAAAUAACCGUCGCUCGGAAAGAAUGUUAAACGUUAUUAACCCCUCGACAAUGACGAGUAAGACGCGAAGACAUCUAGAUUAAUUCAACAAAAAUCAAUAUUCUUCAUUGCUCACGGAUCGGAGCAACAAAACACUACUGUCGGCAAUUUAAAAGAGAAGCAGCAAAAUUGAACAUUCCGCUUUAAGCAAUUUUAAGAAAUUUCAUUUGAAGAUGAUACAUUGAUAACAAGCGAAACAGUUUCUUUGAUCUGCGAGCAACGAACGAUAUCUGAUUUCUGUUAAACUAAUAGGGGUUAACGCUAGAACUACCAGUCAACAUGACUGGUUUUGAUCUUUAUGUUUCGCAAUUAUUAAUAUCUUAAAAGCAUUCGAUAAUUGAAAUGAUCUUGGAAAUAAAUAGUUUCAUUUGAAUACUAUAAUGAAUGUCUAAAGAAACUGACGAUAAUCUAUCGUUAAAAUUUUUAUACAUAUUAAUCGUAUCGAAUGCUCGGGUAGUUCUAGUGUUAAUAAGAUGAUAGAUGAUAGAUAAAUGAUAAGAUAGACGAAAGAACGGUACUCGCGGUUCGGUACCGAAAUGGCUACCUGCCCGCACCGGCGGAGAACGGUGUGUCGCGAAUUACCGAUCGAGUUUCGCUUUCGAUGGAAUUGUUAUGUACCUUGAAUGCCAUUGUAGCUUGCUUGAUUGGUAGAUCUGUCGAUCUGUCUGUCUGUGAUGCGAAUGGUACCAUGGUCGGGUGGUUUUCGGCUUUUAUACCGCGCGCGGGCAGGACCCACCGGGCACGCUGACGUAACUGGGUGACGGUACCUUCGACGGUCGCCCGAUUUGCGGUCACAGAGUGGCACAAAAUUGAGCAAGAAAUCGGACCACGCCCAACACGAACAAUUCGAACAGCGACGAUCCUCGUCGGGCCAUCGCGAGCACAGUCGCCGUGGACUAGGCCACGUCCUUGCCACGAGUUACUUAAUCCUUCCCCGGGCUCCGGCUCGAGGGAAACGCGGCACCGCGCGUAUUUUCCGUAGACGAUGCUCUCCGUUCUGAUCGCCACCUUAUUUCCAACGAACUUCUCUAUUUUUCCACCACUCGGCUGCUUUAACGCCAGAUUUACGAAACCCGUCAAUUUCACGGACACUGAAUUUUUUAAACAUUAUCUUAGUAACGGUUCAAGUCGAUUUUGAUUCGCGCAAUUACGCGAAUACGUAUUGCGAUACUCUAGUUUUGAAGCUACGAUUCUCGUGAUUUAUAUAGACGAGCACGUAGUUUUCUAGGAACAAUAGAAUAAAGUAUAGAACAAACGUCCGUAAAUCUAGUGUUAACUAUACUUAACUCUUUGUUAUACUUUUAUAAUUAGUUCUAUACUUAGUACGUUAUUCUUUUUAUACUCUUUGCACUUGAACGUGUUUGUCGCUAGAAAUAUUUGAACAUUCUCUUAUGGGAUAAAGACAUUGAAACUGAUUUAAUAGCAAUGCAAAGUUUCAUUGAAAAUACUAAAUAUUCAACUUCAUAGUUUUGCUGUAUCGAAUCAAAUGACAGAGUCACCGAGUGCAAAGGGUUAAGAUGUGAUUCGUAGAGAAACUCUAGUGGUAGAUUCUCCUUGAUUGAUUCGUAAUUGAUUUAGAUGUUGGAAAUUAAAGGCUCGAAAGUAGACGUUCGCAUUAUUGCAUUCAUCGAAAUCGAACGUUUACCAGGUGAUCUUUACAAAAUUCAAUCCGAAUCGACGCGUUCCGUGAACCUAGUGUCAAGCACAUACUAAAGAUAUAAUAUUAAAUCAAUUCGAUCAUUUCACGUGUUUCGCUCUAUGAAAUCGUUAACGCUAAAACUGCCGAGCAGUUCAAUUGACUUUUCGAAAUUCCUCUGUAGAAACUCCAAGAAUAUCGAGAAUACCAAAUUGAUUAACAAUUCAGCUGGAGUAUCGCUAAAGUGAAUUUCUUUAACCAUUUCUCGGAGACACGUCUGUUACCUUUUUAACACUGGAACUACCGACUGGUUUCGAUAUUUUUGUUUGGCAGUUAUCGAUAUCUUCGAAGCAUCGAAUAUUCGAAAUGAUUUUGAAAAUAAAUAGUUUCAUUUCAGUACUAUAACGAAUGUCCGAA